CUGGAGGCUAAGGAAACAGAGUCCUUAAAGUCAAGCUGGCUCUGCUUUUAACCUCCUAAAUGGAAACGUAGAUAGAACAGGUCUUGUUUGCAAAAUAAAUGCAAGACCUACUUAUCUAUCAACAGCA
ensembl:scaRNA